rnacentral:lncRNA from 1 species
GAGGCGGCAUGAGCAGCGCACCGUGGAGCUGACGCCGCGCCCCCUGCCCGGCCCAUGUCCUUCGCCAUGCUGCGUUCAGCGCCACCGCCGGGCCGCUACCUGUACCCUGAGCGGUCGUGCGGGCAGCCCACUACCACCGCCACCGCCGCCGCCCCCACUACCACUGGCCAGAGACGGCGGCGAGAACACCCAGCCCAAACAGAUCUGCACCUUCUGCCUCAGCAACCAGAGAAAGUUGAGCAAAGACCGUGACAGAAAGACGGCGAUUCGAAGUUAGAAGGAGGAGGGUCCACAGCAGCCAAGAGGUGAUGCCACUAGUGAAGGUGGAAGCCACUGAAGAGUCAUGGAGAGCCCCACCUUGGACCUGAUCUGAGCACAGGUCCCCAAGAGCGCGCUCACCAGGCCAGACCUGCCCCAGCUCUGAGCAGGGCCUGUGAACAGAGAGAUGGACAGGCGGGCUAUGGCUUGACUCUAAGUAGCUGAACACUUGUACCCAGGCCCACUGGAACUUUCCAUGCUGGCUCUCUACCUGGGCCAAGUGUUGGCAUCUUGUGUCUUUAAUAUGAUAAUAUAAAGUCUGGAAAUUUUGUAUAAUUAAAGUGAAACAGUAUCUUCC